rnacentral:rRNA from 1 species
AAUCAACGCUGGCGGCGUGCCUAACACAUGCAAGUCGAACGCGAAAGUCCCGCAAGGGAUCGGUAGAGUGGCAAACGGGUGAGUAACACGUGGGUGACCUGCCUUCGAGUGGGGAUAACGUCCCGAAAGGGACGCUAAUACCGCAUAACAUGCUGCCUUUUAAGAGGUGGACAGCAAAGCUGGGGAUCGCAAGACCUAGCGCUUGAAGAGGGGCCCGCGUCCGAUUAGCUAGNGGUGGGGUAACGGCUCACCAAGGCAACGAUCGGUAGCCGGCCUGAGAGGGCGGACGGCCACACUGGGACUGAGACACGGCCCAGACUCCUACGGGAGGCAGCAGUGGGGAAUUGUUCGCAAUGGGCGCAAGCCUGACGACGCAACGCCGCGUGGAGGAUGAAGAUCUUCGGGUCGUAAACUCCUUUCGAUCGAGACGAACGGCCUCCGGGUGAACAAGUCCGGGGAGUGACGGUACCGAGAGAAGAA